CAGUCAUGCUAGUGAGGAAUCAACUUGAUGGUGUGUGGGUUUUUCUCGCACUCUUUCCGGUGCACUUCCUUACUUGGCAGGUUAGCAUCAAUUUCGGUUAUCAAUUAAAAAAUUUGAGAGAAUGUGGCUUUUCUUACGGAAAAGUGUUAUAGAUCUUGAUCUAUGUGGU
rnacentral:rRNA from 1 species